GCCCUCAUCACAUGACCUCGGGGAGGAC
rnacentral:piRNA from 1 species